UACAGAGGGUGCAAGCGUUAAUCGGAAUUACUGGGCGUAAAGCGUGUGUAGGUGGAUGCUUAAGUCAGAUGUGAAAGCCCCGGGCUCAACCUGGGAAUUGCAUCUGAUACUGGGUAUCUAGAGUAUGGUAGAGGAUGGCGGAAUUUCCGGUGUAGCGGUGAAAUGCGUAGAUAUCGGAAGGAACACCAGUGGCGAAGGCGGCCGUCUGGGCCAAUACUGACACUGAGACACGAAAGCGUGGGUAGCAAACAGG
rnacentral:rRNA from 1 species